AUUGAACGCUGGCGGUAUGCCUUACACAUGCAAGUCGAACGGUAGAGGGGCAACCCUUGAGAGUGGCGAACGGGUGAGUAAUACAUCGGAACGUGCCCAGUCGUGGGGGAUAACGUAGCGAAAGCUACGCUAAUACCGCAUACGACCUGAGGGUGAAAGCGGGGGAUCGCAAGACCUCGCGCGAUUGGAGCGGCCGAUGGCAGAUUAGGUAGUUGGUGGGGUAAAGGCCUACCAAGCCUGCGAUCUGUAGCUGGUCUGAGAGGACGACCAGCCACACUGGGACUGAGACACGGCCCAGACUCCUACGGGAGGCAGCAGUAGGGAAUUUUGGACAAUGGGCGCAAGCCUGAUCCAGCCAUACCGCGUGCGGGAAGAAGGCCUUCGGGUUGUAAACCGCUUUUGUCAGGGAAGAAAUCUUCUGGGCUAAUACCUCGGGAGGAUGACGGUACCUGAAGAAUAAGCACCGGCUAACUACGUGCCAGCAGCCGCCGUAA
rnacentral:rRNA from 1 species